rnacentral:rRNA from 1 species
UACGUAGGGGUCGAGCGUUGUCCGGAGUUACUGGGCGUAAAGCGCGCGCAGGUGGCUCAUUACGCCCGGCGUGAAAGCCCCCGGCCUAACCGGGGAAAGUCGUCGGGUACGGGUGAGCUUGAGGGUAUCAGGGGCUGGUGGAAUUCCCGGUGUAGUGGUGAAAUGCGUAGAGAUCGGGAGGAACACCCGUGGCGAAGGCGGCCAGCUGGGAUACACCUGACACUGAGGCGCGAAGGCGUGGGGAGCGAACGGG